UACGUAGGGUGCAAGCGUUGUCCGGAAUUAUUGGGCGUAAAGAGCUCGUAGGCGGUCUGUCGCGUCGGCUGUGAAAUCCCGAGGCUCAACCUCGGGUCUGCAGUCGAUACGGGCAAACUAGAGUAUUGCAGGGGAGACUGGAAUUCCUGGUGUAGCGGUGAAAUGCGCAGAUAUCAGGGGGAACACCGGUGGCGAAGGCGGGUCUACUGGGCAAUAACUGACGCUGAGGAGCGAAAGCGUGGGGAGCGAACAGG
rnacentral:rRNA from 1 species